GACGAACGCUGGCGGCGUGCUUAACACAUGCAAGUCGAACGGAAAGGCCCUGCUUUUGUGGGGUGCUCGUUUGGCGAACGGGUGAGUAACACGUGAGUAACCUGCCCUUGACUUUCGGAUAACUUCAGGAAACUGGGGCUAAUACCGGAUAGGAGCUCCUGCUGCAUGGUGGGGGUUGGAAAGUUUCGGCGGUUGGGGAUGGACUCGCGGGUUAUCAGCUUGUUGGUGGGGUAGUGGAAUACCAAGGCUUUGACGGGUAGCCCGCCUGAGAGGGGGACCGGGGACAAGGGGACUGAGAGACGCAGCAGAAGGCUAUGGGCGGCAGCAGUGGGGAACAUGGCACAGUGGGGCGAAGCGUGAUGCAGAAAUGUUGGGUGCGGAAUGCCGGCCUUCGAGUUAAGAACCGCUUUCGACGUAGACGAAGCGUGCGUGACGGUAACGGGUAAAGAAGCAACGGCUAACUACGUG
rnacentral:rRNA from 1 species